AUUAGGGUUACAGCGAUGGGAGCGAGUGUGUGCGUGUGUCGGACGGGCGCUAAAGCAACACUUUGAGAACUGAGAAGGGCACGGUCUGAGCCUCCCCUCAACCCCACACCUCCCAACGCUGCCGUAAAAUCUGUGCUGAAAAAGGACCAGCAAAUACCAGCCUCCUCCUCCUCCUCCUCGUCCCAUCGCUCCCUCUUUGGGCACAGCGAUUCCGGCUCCGUCCCCUCACCUGAGGGCUGUGCUGAGCGUCCCCACCUGCAGUGGCUGCUCGUCCCAUCCCGGUGCUGCCAUCCCAUCUCCUGCAGGACAGACCCUGUGCCAAGCGUAGGGCGCAGCAUCUGUCCUCAUCCAGGAGCACUGUGGAGCCGUGGCUACGGAGCCGUGCCUUUCGGUCACCAGCUGGUGCCUUUGUGUUGCCCAUACGUGUUCAGUGAUGCAGGAGGAGAUCUUUGGGAUGCUGUGGGGUUGGUCUGAUGUCGGGCAUGAGCCUCGCUGGGUUCCUCCCUCGUUAUCCAUCUCUUUAAGCAUCUGAGACCCUCAGUGCCUCAGUUUCCCCACACAUAUCUGUAACAGUGGGCACAGCUCCCUGAGCCGCCCAUAGGCUCUGUGCUCCGGUCCCCAUCUCACAGGACACAGUGCUGGGCCACGAUGCCAAUCUCUGCAGUCCCAACCUCCACACACCCAGAAGGCAUUGAGGAGCUCUGCGGCAUCCCCCACCUGUGUGCCUUGUCCCAGCUUGGGGUCAGUGCCAGUGGGUGCUCAGAGCCCACCCUGAGCCCCAUCCCUGUGCUGGUGGGGCAUUUCCACGUCCUUCUGGUGAACCAGCUCAUGACUCCCAUGGUUAAUGUUUGCCUUAACCCCUCUUUCCACACAUUGAUUUGUAUUUGCAUCAUGCCCUGGCCACGGUGCUCAGGAACGCAGGGUGCUUGCAGGGCUCCCCCCACGAGCAGCAGUGUCCCCCAGCCAUGGCUAAGGUCAUUCUUCAUGGGUUUCCCAGCAGCACUGGGGCCUCCAUCCUUUCUCUCCCAUUUAAUCCCAUGAAUUAAACACCGCCUUCACCGCGGAGCGCCGAGCGGUGCCGGCGUAAUGU
rnacentral:lncRNA from 7 species